GCACCGCUAGCUCAGCUGGAUAGAGCAUCGCGCUUCGAACGCGAAGGUCGCAGGUUCGAAUCCUGCGCGGUGCG
rnacentral:tRNA from 1 species